rnacentral:rRNA from 1 species
GUGCUUAACACAUGCAAGUCGAACGGAAAGGCCCCUUUGGGGGUGCUCGAGUGGCGAACGGGUGAGUAACACGUGGGUGACCUGCCCUGCACUUCGGGAUAAGCCUGGGAAACUGGGUCUAAUACCGGAUAGGACCACCCCAUGCAUGUGGUGUGGUGGAAAGCGUUAUGUAGUGGUGUGGGAUGGGCCCGCGGCCUAUCAGCUUGUUGGUGGGGUGAUGGCCUACCAAGGCGACGACGGGUAGCCGGCCUGAGAGGGUGUCCGGCCACACUGGGACUGAGAUACGGCCCAGACUCCUACGGGAGGCAGCAGUGGGGAAUAUUGCACAAUGGGCGCAAGCCUGAUGCAGCGACGCCGCGUGGGGGAUGACGGCCUUCGGGUUGUAAACCUCUUUCAGCCUCGACGAAGCUGCGGGUUUUCUCGUGGUGACGGUAGGGGCAGAAGAAGCACCGGCCAACUACGUGCCAGCAGCCGCGGUAAUACGUAGGGUGCGAGCGUUGUCCGGAGUUACUGGGCGUAAAGAGCUCGUAGGCGGUUUGUCGCGUUGUUCGUGAAAUC